CCCUGUCAAUGAACGUCAAGCCCAUGACGUUAUCGUCGUUCGUAAACAUCAAAACAUCGUGACUCCGAGAAUUAUUACAUCCAACCAAAACGUGCAAUUUUCUUAUAAUUAAUUCCAAGUCAGAUUAACUGCUACGAUCGAUUGUGAUAGGAUUUAGUGGGCAACAAACCUUUGUUUAAGGCACAGCGUAGAUCCAGUAGGGUAUCAGUACGGGAACAAUUUAGAAAUCAGAACAGAACUUAAAGAAACAACGUGGAAAAACCCUAUAGCCCGACUCUGUGAAUUUGUUUUGGAUGACUAAGGGUGAAACUAAAUCUUUGAGCUACAUACGCCAAAAGGGUGGUUGCUACACAGAAUUUCAGCCGUUAUCCGAACAAAUCUCAAAGAUUUACCCACACUAGUCGGAUUUGGGUACCCACUAUUCCACUUCCCGGAAGGAUGCCAGAGACAGAGCGUAAUGAUUGCAAAGUCUGCCGGAGGUCGAACAAUGUAGACGACAUGGUAUUCUGCGCGGUGUGUGAGGAAUGGUUCCACUACCGAUGUGUAGGAGUGACCUCAGCCGUGGUCAACGAAAGCUGGAUGUGCGCUGGGUGCUCGGCUCUGCCAUCGUCAACACGGAUCGGCGAGCUAGGAGCAGGCGACAAAUCGAUCGCUGUUACCAUCGUGUCCUCGGGCGCCACUGGAUCGUUACCGGCGAUGACCCCAUCUUCAAGCACUGUGCCGUUUUCAAUGAAUUCGGCAUUUCCACUGGCUUUUACGGCAGCAUCGUACAACGUGUCAUCGACAGCACUUCCAUCUUUACCCCCCGUAAUU